CAUGAUCAUUGCUUCAGCCACACCAUCUCCCACACAUUCACCUACAUCAUCUUCCUCUUCACCUUCCUCCUCCCCCUAGCUCUCUGGCUGAAACAAGCAUCCUGACUGAAUGUCUCACUUCUGUUCAAAUGUCUAUUUAUCCGUUUAACCCAUAUAAAAAGGAAACUUCUGAAGAAAUUAUAUUUUUUUAAAGAAUCAAAAAUGAAAUCAGGAAUAACUAUUUAAUGAAGAUAUACAGGAUAAACAAUGUUAUUUAUCAUCAUUGUUUUGAUUACAGAGAUAACGAUUGCUAGGUCUCCAUUUUCAUCAUUAGUAGUAUUAAUAUCAAGUUCAUUGUCAGGUUUUGCUUAAAGCAUCACUUGUUUAAUUUUCAUUGCAUCAAGUUGACAUCAUUCAUGUUAAUAUAAGCAUGCACACAUGUUUCUCCAUGUCCAUUCAGAACUGCACUAACACUGAGAGAGACAGAGGAGAGAGGAGUCCUACACACAGAGAGAGCGGACAAGAUGGAGGGAGGCGGAGAGAGGGGGUGAAUGGCUGUGUGGAGAGAGAGGGAAGUGGGGAAAAGGGAGUUUUCAGAAAUAGAGUGGGAGAACAAGCAAUCAAAGAGAGCAAGAGACAGGUAUAGAAAGAGAUAAAGGGAAAAGAUAAAGGUAUAUUGAGAGAGAGAGAGGCAGAGAGAGAGAGAGAGGCAGAGAGAGAGAGAGAGAGGCAGAGCAGGCAUGCAGAGGCAUAGAAAGAGAUAAAGGGGCAAGAGAAAGGUAUAUUGAGAGAGAGAGAGCGAGAGGGAGAGAGAGAGAGCGGCAGGCAUAGAAAGAGAUAAAGGGGAAAGAGAAAGGUAUAUUUAGAGAGCGAGAGAGAGAGAGAUAGGUAUAUUUAGAGAGAGGGAGAGAGAGAGGAGAUAUAUUUAGAGAGAGAGAGAGAGAGAGAGGCAGGGGCAGAGAAAGAGAUAAAGGGGAAGGUAUAUUUAGAGAUAAAGGGGCAAGAGGAAGGUAUAUUUAAAGAGAGAGAGAGAGAGAGAGAGAGAGAGAGCGGCAGGCAGGCAUAGAAAGAGAUAAAGGGGCGAGAGGAAGGUAUAUUUAGAGAGAGAGAGAGAGCGAGAGAGAGCGAGGGUAAUACUGAGAGCACACUAGCAACCUCCAGUGCUGAGUGAGUGCUAACACCACAGUGUUAUGGGGCAGAGGAUCAUGUGGACUGUGAGGGAUAGAGACAGAGCCUGGAGAUAGGCCAAUGGAUCAAUACUAUAGUAUCUACUUAUACAGGCAGAUCAAUGACCUCCCAGAACAACCUGAGCAGACAUACAGUUCCAGAUGGAAAACUUCUGGCUAUGAUAUGGGAUAUACAGCUUUAAUCUGUGUACAUACCAAGCAUACCAGAAAGCAUCCCUGCACUUCCUUGGCCUGAAGUUGGAAUAGUAACUGGAUCCCCCUGAAUGCGUUUAAGGGGAAAUGGCAGCCAUAGCAUUAGUAGUGCUAACUGUUAGUUGAGGUUAUAGUAGCAGAAGUGGUGGUAGACAUGGUUCUCCCAUGGCAGUAGCCACAUGGUGCUUAAAGAGGAAGUGCAGAGCGUAAACAGGGGGUCAUUGUAUUUCACAAAGAUAAAGGACAUGGCUACCCCCUCUCUGUCUCCCCGUUUGGAGGGACUGCUAGGGGACAUAAAAGAGUCAUUACUCAGCCCAAAAUUCUACCUCAAGUAAUCAAAACGUAUCUAACAUCACGGUGCCAACUGGUUUCCCCUCAGACACACAGUACACAUUUACUAAAAGUAGUACACAACCAACACAGUUACUUAGAUCAGGCAGGGGGGGCACUUUUGAGUGACUGACAGCUGAUCUGGGAAACAACACACACAAUACACUCUAAUCUCUGUGAGAGACCGACUGUUCAUCAGGGAUCAUAAGUAUCCCACUCCCCACCAAGUGCAAUGGGUCCUACAACAAAUGGUUCCUCUAAGACACACAGGACAGAAGACACAUUUUGUUUAAAGACAGGAGUUUCAGUCUGUGGAUGCUAGGAAUGGUGUGGGGCCGCGAGGACAGGUAGAAGAUAGGGAUCUCAUGAGCACAGAAACAUGUCACACAGAAGGUCACAGUGACACACACAAACACACAGGCAUACACACACAGACGCACACAAAUACAAAACACACACACAAACACAGAAAUACACACAAAUCAAAGCAACACAAAUGUGUGUGUCCUUCUAACGUUGUCGUCCAGUCGGAGACAUGAUGGACUGCAGACAAUUUUAUCUUUUCAAAUUAAAUAAUGUCUUUCCGAAAAACAAAAUCUUGGAAUGAUAGAAAAAUUCAAUAUAAUGGUGAAAUCCUUCCCUGUAGGAUACAUUUCCAGUAAGUGCACUCCAAGCCGAGCAGGUCCGUCCUCAUCACAGUUCCCCUGUAGAGUCCUCUGGGGUAAAGUCUGCCAGUAUGUCCAAACAGGGGAACACUAUUCCUGUAACAUCCCAAGGCGCUCAAAUAGUUCAGGUCUUCAAGUACUCACAGUCACAUCCUUAGUGGAUCGUAAAAAAAUGGUAUGGAUAAAUUCCUUUCUGGAUGAUUAUAUUACACAAACCCCCAAAACCAAACAAAUGGAAAAAUAAAAGCAAAUUCACAUUAAUGAGCACCAUGAAGAAGGUGACAAAAUAAUGAGGCGAAGGGACACAUUUCAAGGUUACGUAACAUGCUUCAGCAGAUGGGUUCAUCCACAUUUCUCCCUCCCCUGACAUCAAUAAUAACGACCGGCAAAGGUUCCUUCCUCCAGCUAAAAGAAGCCAGAAAAGCCCAGAUCCAGAGGGUAGGCCCAAACCACUAGAGUCUCCACAACUGAUGUUUGUCCUGCUGGAAACACGACAUGGAUGUUUCUUAACUACACUUGUAUACGAAUGGCCUAAAGUAAAGCAUUGGCAUGGUUUGUCUUUUGAAGUCCAUACAGAGCAGAAACCUUAGGCCCAGGUUUGAUUGGAGGGAGAAAUGUGCAUCAUCACACUCCUUCUGGAUGAAUUACUGGCACUAACCUGAAGCACUGUGUGUGUGUGUGUGUGUGUGUGUGUGUGUGUGUGUGUGUGUGUGUGUGUGUGUGUGUGUGUGUGUGCGUGUGUGCGUGUGUGUGUGUGUGUGUCAGAGAUCUAAGUGUUGCUUGUAUAGAGUGUAGAUUCUGUAUUCCUGUGCUUCGUUGCGACAGGACAGGAGUUGGAAUAUUCAGCAGUAGCAGUAGAAUAGCAGUCGAUGUGUCUCCUUAUCUCUCUUUGUUUGAUGGAGAGAAUUAUUCACAGAUGAGCAGAAAGAAAGGAAAGUCUGGAACUGGAAAGAUGAUAAUAACCUGGGGAGAAGAGGAAAAAGAGAGAGAUAAAGCAGGAGACAGUGCAGAUGAGAAGAUACAUAAACAGAGAACACAGCCUUAGAGUACAGUAAGUCAGGGGGUGAGGUACAUAACAUCUAGAUGGUACAGAUACUCUUGCCUCACAGCUCGUUAAUCUAACAGCCUCUGAGUCUCAGCUGGAUCACAUUCACCAAGAUUAUAAUCACAAAGCUGUGGUUAUAUAGGUCCCUCCAAAGAAAGCUAUGGAAUAUUGAAAAAUUGUGUGUCAGGGUUGGGGUCCACUUCAAUAAAGGCAAUGCAGGAAAUCAAUUCAAUCUAAUUCAUGAAGCAGAAAUUGCCCGUCCUUUAUAAUGACGAUGUUUUCUAAAUCAUACAACUAAUUUAUC
ensembl:lncRNA